rnacentral:rRNA from 1 species
UGAGGAAUAUUGGUCAAUGGGCGGAAGCCUGAACCAGCCAUGCCGCGUGCGGGAAGAAGGCCCUACGGGUUGUAAACCGCUUUUCCCCGGGAAGAAUAACCCCGACGCGUCGGGGGAUGCCGGUACCGGGGGAAUAAGGAUCGGCUAACUCCGUGCCAGCAGCCGCGGUAAUACGGAGGAUCCGAGCGUUAUCCGGAUUUAUUGGGUUUAAAGGGUGCGUAGGUGGUUUGAUAAGUCAGCGGUGAAAGUUUGCAGCUUAACUGUAAAAAUGCCGUUGAAACUGGCGUACUUGAGUGUAAAUGAGGUAGGCGGAAUGCGUGGUGUAGCGGUGAAAUGCAUAGAUAUCGCGCAGAACUCCGAUUGCGAAGGCAGCUUACUAAGCUACAACUGACACUGAAGCACGAAAGCGUGGGGAUCAAACA